rnacentral:rRNA from 1 species
GACAGAGGCCCCAAGCGUUAGGCGGAAUCACUGGGCUUAAAGCGUGUGUAGGCGGACUUCUAAGUGCCUUGUGAAAUCCCACGGCUCACCCGUGGAACUGCUCGGUAUACUGGGUGUCUUGAGCCACUUAGGGGCUACCGGAACAAAUGGUGGAGCGGUGAAAUGCGUAGAUAUCAUUUGGAACGCCAAUGGUGAAAACAGGUAGCUGGGAGUGUGCUGACGCUGAGACACGAAAGCCAGGGGAGCGAACGGG